GAACCUCCCUUGCACUCUUCCUUUCUCUCAACCUUCUCUUCUUCACUUACGCCUCUGCGGCUUGUCCUAGAGACUCCCUACAGCUCGGUGUUUGCGCCAAAGUACUCUUGCAAGUGGAGCUAAAAUUUAACACAUCUUUAAAGCCAUGCUGCUCUCUCAUCCAAGGCUUGGCUGACCUUGAUGCUGCUGUAUGCCUCUGUGAUGUGCUCAAGACUAAGGUUCUUGGAACACCUCUUAACCUUCCCCUCAAUCCCAGCGUACUCCUCAGUGUUUGCGGUAGAGAAGCUCCAAACAACUUCCAGUGCGCGUAAGUUGAAUGGGUGUUUAUGAUGAACCUAUCUUCUUAUCUUCUUGUUUUAUGUUAAGGUGGUUUUUUUUUUUUUUUUGUAUUUUUCUUGAAUUCGUUUUCAUGCAAAUAUGCAAUAAUGGAUAUAAUGCAUGGGUUUGUGUAUGCAUGUAAUCGGCAAGUUUGUACUCCUUUACUUCAUUGUUCCUCUGUCCCUUCUUUGUAAUUAUUUUUUUUCGAAUUUGAUAUAAUAAUUUCACUUCUUACUAUAAUUAAAUUUUAACAUAAUUAGAAAUGAAAAAAAGCCAUAUUGGAAAAAUAAUAAUUAAGAUGCUUGGAAUCUCGGUGUUUAAUGAACUUGGUGAAUGUGACAUUAGUCAUUAAGUGCUUCUUAAUUUAGUUAAGCCGUGUAAAUGUAAUUGCAACCUCAUUGAAGGUUUCGCUGAUGACCUAGAAGCUGCGGUAUCAUCAUUAACCUUAGCUUGAUCCUCAGCUUCACAUGGCUUCCAAUGCCCUUAAUUUAAAAACAAUUAUUUCUAAAACUUGGUUAAUAGGAAUUAAUUAUAUACAAAUAUUGAAGCUGUUUUCCGGCAGAUCUCACCAAGAUCGAAGUCUAUAUUUGAUCUGAACAGUUUUGUACCUCAAACUAACAAGUGCAAAUUAAGUAAACUAAUCAUUUUCGAAUUAUAUUUUAGGAGAUCUUUUUCUUUUCAAUGUAAGAUUUUCAGCAGAAAUGACUCUUCUAACUUUUUAUCUGAUUUAAUCUAUAUAUAUAUAAAGUUAGCUUUUUCUCUCUUCUCCUUAAGCCACAUCAUCAUCCACCUCAUUUUAUUAUUUAAUUUUUAAAAUUAAUUAUACCAUUUUAUCAUUUAAUUUUAAGAUUUAAACCUAUAUAAACCUAUAUAAAGUUAGCUUUUUCUCUCUUCUCCUUAAGCCACAUCAUCAUCCACCUCAUUUUAUUAUUUAAUUUUUAAAAUUAAUUAUACCAUUUAUCAUUUAAUUUUAAGAUUUAAACCUAUAUAAAUAAAUUUAUCAAAAAUGAAUAUGAAAGGUCUUUUUUAUAGAAAUUUGGUGGUUGUGUCAGGAAAUUUGAUAAUAUUAACUUUAUAUAUAUAGAUUACAUCUUAUCUCAACAGAUAUUAGACUUACUAUAAUGUCAAAUUGUUUCUUAAUUUAUAUUUGAUUUCAAUUUUAAAUCAUUUCCUCUGCUUUCAAUUUUUGACUUGAUUAACCCGUCAGAGUUCAAAAAAAAAAAAUUAGUUUAUAUUAUUGAUCACAUUGGACAUGCUUUCCCUAAAAUUCUUGCAAAGUUGCAAUUGGCCAAAAUUUAAAAUUUAAGUUAGACGAAUUAAUAUGUAUCUUUCUUUUUUUAAGUUAAGUGAAAUAUGAUUUGAUAACUCCAACCAUCUGAGAUGAAAUAAUACAAUAUUAUCACAUGGAAAUGAAAUAAUAAACUAUAUGUCUUCGUCUGACUAAAUGAUGUUUUAGAAAUAAUGGUGACAAAGGUAUUUGUUAAAUAUAUCACAUGGACAAAGCAUGGAGGAAUAAAGAAACUCAUUCCAAUUUCGAUGUGCUUAAUUAACAAAAAUAGAUGUUUAAAUGAAAAUAGCAGGUUUUAGAAAAGAAACCUGUGAUACCUAGAUAUACAUAAUAUUUGCUUAGAUAUAGGUGCUAUACUACUAGCUUUGAUAUAACGUCAAAAAUAACUCACUCCAACUUAUUAUCCCUUGAUGAUGAAGAGUUUUUAGGUUUAACUUGCGAAAGGUGGGAUUUACGAGCUGGUCUGAAUCACUCUCUCGUCAAUCAGGAGGUCGUACAGGGAAUAGAUCAGGUGAGUGACUCGUUUAAUCAGUAGGAUAAAUGACUCACUCGAUCAAUGGACGAAUGAAGGAUGUUGAAUCACUCAACAAACUUAGUUCGCAGAUUUUGUAAGUAUUAAGUGACUCACUCAUAAAGAACUGAAAAACAAGAUUGAAAAGACUCAAACUUUGACAAGAAGAAAAAAUUUCUACUGCUUUGAAAUGAUCAAGGGUGUUUUACAAAUGAACAAUCUAAUGAGCUUAUAUAGGCUCAACUACACGUUCUAGUAGUCUAAAAGAGGUGUAUUCAAAAUGGAAUUUUAAGAGAUUUGAGUUUUUAAAUGAUUAUGAUGAUUUUAGAGAAGUUCAUAUGACUUUUGUAAAAUCCUUUUACAUCUCACCAAAAACCAUGAGAUUUGGAUUUCUGUAUUUUUAACUAAGGAAUUCCUUUCAAAUCUUCUGAAAUCCUUCAAAAUCAUUAAAAGCCAAAUCCACAAAUUGUUUUCAAUAACAGUGGAUUUGAAUGUGGAUUUUGAAAUAAUUAGUUCAAUAACAAUGGAUUUCAUGAGACUUUUUAAAAUUUAUAUUUGAAUAACACUAGAUUAAUAAGUUCUACACAAAUCUCUUAAAAUGCUACUUUGAAUACACCUCCCUAAACCAAGAAACAAAUCGCAUAAAAUUGAAGACACUAGCCGUUGGGAAUUUAUGAACCAAAUCAGCUAAAUAAGGCAAGUAGAAAGAUACCUUGAGUUUUGAAAGCUUUGGUGCGAAAACAUGAUUUCUUAAGGUGUCUAGGUUCAUUUUAGAAAGCUUCAAGAUGUACAUAAGAAAAUAAGGAAGUAGUCGUUGCAGCUUUAUCUCCUUUGGUUCCAUGUAUGAUAAGUAGUGACUCGUCGGUUUCUUGUAUGGUAAGGUGUACUAAAGGUCGUGUUGCACAAGUAUUGUUUGGUCUAAAUAUUUACAUGGUUUCCAUAUCUUAUUAUAUAAACCUUGGUUUUCAAAGUUAGCCAUUAACAAGAUCGUGACACGUGUUAAUUAUAAUUGAUAAGAUAUUGACACAUGUCGUAACUAAUUUUGUUAAUAUUUGGAUAAUAUAGAAAUAUUAUUAACCCUAUCGAAAAAAGAAAUAUAUAAAAUAAAUAUUAUUAAUAAAAUAUACAAAUAACCUAAUUUCAGUUAUGUCAAUUUGGUUUAUCAAUAAGAUAGGGAUUUAAAAUUUAUAAUUAACAAGAAUAUAUGACGAUUUUUGUUUACAGAAGAGAAUUAAGGUUUAAACUUUAAUUUUACGAUUAAAUCAGGUUAUUUGUUGGUUUGGGUAUAUAAAUGAUAAAUAAGAAUUAUGGUUUAUCUUUAUAAAUUAAAAUUAUGGUUGAAGUUUAACAAUUAAACGAGAUUAUAUGUCGAAACUUGGUUUUUAAANNNNNNNNNNNNNNNNNNNNNNNNNNNNNNNNNNNNNNNNNNNNNNNNNNNNNNNNNNNNNNNNNNNNNNNNNNNNNNNNNNNNNNNNNNNNNNNNNNNNUGCAAUAUGGUAUAUCUAAUUUUGUUAAUAUUAAGAUACAAAUAGAUUUUUUAAACAACAUUAAAAAAUAAUUAUAAAAAAUGAAAGAGAAUUUUUGAGAAAUAUCCCUUUUGGUGUAUCACUUUUCAAAAAUACCUCAUUUAUCUAUCCAUUUUCAAAAAUAUCCAUGUUUAAAUAUGAAAAAUUUUAAAGUUUUAUAUGGUUUAUAAGGCACUUUUAUAUAAUAACUACUACUUGGAAAUUUGAUACAAAUAUUUUAUAAUGUUUUAAAAGAUUCUGAAUCGUUUUUACAAGUUUUAUAAGGUUUUUAAGUGGUUUUAAAAAGGGUUUAUAAGGUUUUUAAAAGGUAUUUAUAAGUUAUUUUACGCUAUUUAUGAAAGAUAUAUAAAAAUUUUAACAUAUAUAAAGGUAAUUUGUGUGUAUAUUUAUAAGUUUACACACAUAUUUGGAUAAAUUUUAAUAUUUAUAGUUGUUUUUUUAUAAAGUUUGAAAUAGGGGUAUUUUUAAAAAGUGGUAUGGAAAAAGGAUAUUUUUGAUAAAUUAAAAAGUAAAAAAAUUGAAAUUUAUAUAAAAAAAGCGUAAGCUUAUAUAUUUAGACACAAAUUAUCUUUCUAUUUGUGUAAAUUUUAAAUACCAUAUAAAUACCUUUUAAAAACCUUUUAAAAUUAUUUAAAAAACAUAUAAAAACUUUGUAAAUCUUAUAAAAACCUUAUAAAAGUCUUAUAAAUGCCGUUUAAAACCUUUUUAAAACUUUAUAAAUAUUUGUAUUGAGUCUCCCAAUAGUAAUGAUGAUCUAGAUGUACCUUAUAAACUAUAUAAAAGUUGACAGUUUUUCAUAUUUGAAAAGGGAUAUUUUUAAAAUGGAUAGAAAAUUGGUGUAUUUUUAAAAAGAGGUACACCAAAAGGGGUAUUUCUCAAAAAUUCUCUUUUAACUAUUAACCUAAUUUUUGGUUUUGCGAGUUGUAGGUUUUACAAUUAUAAGGGUUAUAUGUUGAGUUUAUAAAUGUGCAUUAUAGUUUAGAUUUUAUUAUUAAACGAGAUUAUUUAUCGGUUUGGGUUUAUUAAAGAUGAGUGAGAUUUAGGUUUAACAAUUAAACAAGGUUAUUUCUCAGUUUGGGUUCAUAAAGGAGAAUUAGGAUUUACAAUUUACAAAUAAAUUAGAUUUUGAGUUUAACUAAAUUCAUAAUUUUAUUCAUGAUUUCUAUUUUAUAAUAUGUUAUAUUUGUUUAAUUUUUAAUUUAUGUACGAAUGUAUUAUGCCAUUGAGCAAUUUCAUUGUCUAAAACAUAAGGGUGAAUAAAAUAACAAAGUUUAAUAUAAAUCGUAAUAUAGUAAUUUUAAAAUAUUUUUAAAGAAAAUANNNNNNNNNNNNNNNNNNNNNNNNNNNNNNNNNNNNNNNNNNNNNNNNNNNNNNNNNNNNNNNNNNNNNNNNNNNNNNNNNNNNNNNNNNNNNNNNNNNNAAUUCGUAAUUGAAAUUUUUUUUAAUGUUUUCGUCAACGAUGUUGUAAUUUAUUUUAGAAUCUUUAUGUUUAUUUGCGUUGUUUAUAUGAUUUUAUUUACAAAUGACUAUAUUUGUAUUUAACAUCAUAUUUUUGAUUGAUGUUAAUUUGAAAGAACUUUACCAUCAUAUUAAAUAAUAAUUAAUUAAUUUUCAUAGUCUGAGUAUGAUUUUUUGAAAAAUUGAAAGUUAAGAAAUAACAAUUUUUACAAAAUGGUAUAAUCAUGUUUUAGAGGAUAAUUGGUAAAUUAAGAUUUUUUGAAAUAUUUUAGCAAGAUUAUGAGUAAUGGUGAAUAGCUCCCAAAUAGCUCCCAAAUGUUUUGGUGAUUGUCAGUUUGACAUUACUAGAUUUAUAUAAUUAACGUUUUAUAACGAAUUUUAUUAAAUAUAUAUUUCAAACCAAAUAAAAUCUCUUUCCAAAUGAAAUUAAUUUCUCUUAUUUUUUCAAACAAAACUUUUGAAAUUAUAUUUUUAUAAUUUAUAGUAAAUUUUAAUUUUAAUUUAAUUUUAAAUAAAGAUAACCCGUCCAUCGGACGGGUACUAUACUAGUAUAGAUAUAAAAUCUACAUUCGGUCCAAUAUUCAUUUUUUUAUCUUCAAUCGAAUUUUUUAGCUUUUUUAAUAUUUUAAAAUUCUUAUCCAAUAUAAUUAAGAGAACACUAAUACUCUAUUGUUGUAUGUGCGACCCGAUUAUAAUUCGAAAGAAUACCAAUACGUUAUCGUAUUUUGUUUUUAAUGUCUGUAUUUCACUAUGGUAAAGAUUGUACAUGAUUACAAUGCAAAUAAUUAAUCAGAAGCUGGGAUACAAAGUAGUGAAAAAGAAACUGAUUAUCGUUUAAUCGGAGAUUUGGCCAAAAUAUUUGUUGCUUUGUCGUUUGCUCUAUGUAUCUAACAAAAUUUGACUGAUUCAAAUUUUUGUUUCCAAUGUGUGGUUUCUUGAAAUCUAAUUAUAAUAAGAAAAGUUGUGAUUCCUUUUAUGUACAUAGCAUGUCAAUGACUUGUUUAGAGUCUCCUUCGAAUAUUACUCGCUGAUGUCCUUGACUCCAAGUGUGCUGCAUUGCCAUAACCAAUACAUUAUCGUUAUAUAAGUAAAAUAACCUAGAGUUUAGGAUUUAAAGUUAUAGCGAGUUUGCAUCAUGAUUUGUUAACGAAUAUUAUGAAAUGUGAAGCAUGUUUUAUUUCGUAAGAUAUUAUCCUAUUAAAAACUACAAUAAAAUCUCUACAACUUGAUACUCGACAAAUUAAUAAUCUCCAUAAAUUAAUAAUUAAAUGAAAUUAUUAAUAUAUAUAUAUAUAUGUAAUAUUUUUAGUGAAAUAUAAUUAUCAUUAUGUUAAAUAUUCUUAUAUUUACAUUAGUUUUUGUUAGCAUUCAAUUCUAAUAGAUUUCAUGUAUCAAUAAAUUUAUAGUGUUUUAUUCAUUCAUGAUGAUUGUUGUUUUUUGUUGUAAUUGAUUAUAAAAAAAAUAUUGAUUAGAAUGGUUAAAUUUUAUUUUGAGGUAUAUAUAUUUUUAAAUUUACCAAAUUAGGAAAAUAUUGAUAAAUUAAUGAUUUUAUAAAUUAAUAAAAUUUAAUGAUCCUAACAUUAUUAGUUUAUAGAGGUUUUACAGUAUUGCUUAUGUGAAUCAAAUCUUUGGGCAUCCCAAAUAUAUCGGGUCAACUUUCAAAAAGAAAAAUAUACAGCAAAAGUUCAACUUAUGUUUUCAUUUGAUUAUUGUUUAUGAUCGUUGACUUCAUGCCAUUAUUACCUGUCUGUAGUCUUACAGAAAUAUGUUUAUCUGUUUUUGUAAGAAAAUAUAUAUUAUUUAUUUUUAAUGUAUUUACCAAAAAAAUCAUAUAUAAACUAUAUAUUUAUAUAUGUUAAUCUCCUAUAAUCAUAUGAUGAGAUAAAAAAUUAUUACGUUCGUUAAGAAUUAAUUUUUCCUUAAUAAACAUGACGAUGAUCACCAAUUAGUUAAAACUCUUUGAAACCAUAUGGUCAACUUCUUUCAUUUUCACGUUUUAUAGAUAUAUUACGUAGUUAAUUAAAGAGAACAUCACUUUAAAAAAAAUUAUAUAUAUAUAUAUAUAUAUAAUUGACCAAUCAAUCGAUCAAUAUUAUAGAUACGAAUGAUUUUAGCAUGAUGAUUAUCAUAUUAUAACAUUUAAUUUAUUUUAAAGAAUAGAAAUGGCCAAUCAAUUGAUCAAUUUUAUAGAAAAGAAUGAUUUUGGCAUGAUGAUUAUCAUAUUAUAUUAUAUUAGCAUGUUCGACCUUAAUUUAUAAUCCGUAUAUAAUAAAAUAUACACCAUUAGUACACGAAACUAUAUGUUACUUAAUCAGCAAAAUGAUCAAAGUAGUAUGAUCACGUACACUAUAUCAUUACAAUAUAUCAUAGAAAUGUAUUAUCCGAAAGAGAUUGAGAUAAGUCCAAACUAGUAAAUCUAGUUUUUGGAUUUUGUAAACCCAAAAAAAAUCCAAACUAAUAUAUCUGUCCUUCUUGUAACCCUUGUUAUAUACGGAGUGAUUUUAUAAGUCCAACAAUUUAAGAAUACUAAUACAACUAUCACGUGGAAAUGAAGUAAUAAAAUUUGUCUUCGUCUGAGAGACUAAAUGAUAAUGGUGAUAUAAGUAUGCCCCGUUACAAAGGUAUUUGUUGAAGGAUAAUAUUUAUGAGACUUUGCACAAUUAGUUUCCAAAAAUAAGAUUAAUAUAUUUGAUUAUAUUUUUAACACUCGUGAAGUCCCGUACAUACAUUGGUAUAAGUUAUACUGUAUAACUAGGAACUUUGGGAGUUGUCUACUUAAUUAGUUUAGAGGAUCGACUUCAACCAUACCAAAUUUUGUUUUAUGGAUAUAUAAUUUUAUACCAGCAACUAUAGGUUUUUAAUUAAAAUUAGAACCAUAUACUACUAGACAUUACCAGCUCAUUAUAGUGUUCUUUAAUGAUCAAAUCAUAUCAAUAACAAAAUUAGUCAACUAAUCCCCUAGUAACGACAAAUUAGCUAUGAAACCUUCACAAUUCUCUCCUAGUGAAAACCCUAUAAAUACACACUAAACACUUAACCUUUCUCUCCACCCAUCUCAAACAAGCUUAAACGCACUACUACUUCUUGAGCCUUUUCCACUCCACAAAACAAAAUGGCUCCAAGAACCUCCCUUGCACUCUUCCUUUCUCUCAACCUCCUCUUCUUCACUUUCACCUCUGCGACCACAGGUACUUGUCCUAGAGACGCCCUCAAGAUCGGUGUUUGCGUCAGUGUGCUCAACAUAGUGGACCUAACAUUGGGAAACCCACCCGUACAGCCAUGCUGCUCUCUCAUCCAAGGCUUAGCUGACCUUGAGGCUGCUGUCUGCCUUUGCACUGCUCUCAAGGCUAGCGUUCUUGGAAUCAACCUUAACCUUCCCAUCAACCUCAGCGUUCUCCUCAAUGUUUGCGGUAGAAAAGCUCCAACCAACUUCCAGUGCGCUUAAGUUAAAAAUGAAGUUAUGGCAAAAAAAAAAAAAAAAAAAAAAAAAAAAAAAAUCAAUAAUCAACAAUCAAUAAUCAUAUAUACAAUGUAUGAAUAAUAAAUGAAUAAUCAUACAAUGUAUGAAUACUUGAAACCGUUAUCUUAUCUUCUUGUCUUUAUUUUAAGGUGAUUUCUUUUUUUCUUUGCAUUUGUAUUUGUAUUUGUCGUGGAUUGUUGGAAACUAACGUAUGAACGUUCUCAUGCAAUUACCCAAUAUUGGGUUUUGUGUGUAGUCGGCAAGUUUUUUCCUCCUUUGCUUCAUUGUUCCUCCAUCUCUUCUUUGUAAUUGUGUCCUUCGACGUUUAUUAAUAAAAGUAUCCAUCUUUAUGUUUUUUUUGUCUAUAUUGGUUAUCGAGUAUUUAUGCAUGUCUAUCUUAUAAACCAAGAUAAAAAGAUAAUAUUACAUACAUGAUACAUAUAUAUACCACAAAAACAUGUCUUGGCUAGUAUUACCUUAGCUUGUAAGCAUUAAGACAUGUAACAUCCAUUGCCUAUACCAUGCAAGAAUGGUGGGGAAUUUUUUUUUUUUUUUUCAAACUAGAUAAGAAUGUGUACAAGAUAAAUUCUUCAAACAGACAGCACUUGCAAACUUGGGAGAUAGUUUAAAAUAAAGAACUACUAAAUGUAUUUUUUUAUUUUUUUUAUUUUUUUUAACUACUAAAUGUAUUGUAAUGUGUUAGACGUAAUAUACAUAGUAGUCAAAAUAUAUUUUGACAUAGAAUUUAGAACUUUUUGCCAAAUAUCAAAGGCUUUAAAAGUAGUAGAUAAUGUAAUUACUAAUAAGUUAAAAAAUCAUAAUUAAGUUGGUAAUCGAUUUUUGGCUUGACUUGGGACGAAAAAUGUAAUUUUUUCUUAACAAGUCACUGGUAUAUAUUUUUUGAGAACUAAACCUUGAGUUUUACUUAUAUGAAUAGUUAAAAGUCACAAUUUUGUAUUCACUUUAUUACUGUUUAUGAUCAUUGAUUUUUUUUCCAUUACUAACUGUAUUUAGUCUUACAGAAAUUAAUGUGUUUUUAUUCUUUUUUUGUAAGAAAAUCUAUAAUGUAGUAACCGGAAAAAUUCAAAUGAAAACAUAUGCAUGGUGAUAUUAAAAUCUAGGUUCAUUAAGAAAUAACUUUGCUUUUUGAUAGGAUCUUGUAAGAAUUAAUUUUGCCUUAUCAACAAGACGAUGAUCACUACUACAGUAUAUAUAUAUAUAUAUAUAUAUAUUACUUGCCGUUAUUUUAUUUUGUAGUAUAUUUUGUCGUUAAUAUAAUAAAAGGAUCUCGCACAUACAUCUCAUUCAACACAUAUACAUGAUUUAUUUACCAAAAAAUAAAAUAUAUACAUGAAUAUUUCGUUAUAACAACUCUAACAAUGAUUAUAUAUUAUUCAUACUGGACAUGCUUUCAAAUUUAAAUUUUGCGCAAAACUGCAAUUGGCCAAAAUUUAAUCUAGACGAGUUAUGGUUUGAUUAAGUCCAACCAUUUGAGACUACCAAAUAGUAUUAUUACAUGGAAAUGAAUUAAUAAACUUUGUCUUCGUCUGACUAAAUGAUGAUUUAAAAAUAAUGACAAAGGGAUUCGUUAAAUAUAUAUAUCACAUGCACAAUGCAUGGAGGAAUAAAAAAACUCAUUCCAAUUUCGAUGUGCUUAAUUAACAUAAAUAGAUGUUUAAAUGAUAAAUAGCAGGUUUUAAAAAAACUUGUGAUACCUAGAUAUACAUAAUGUUUUCUUAGAACUUGGUAUUAUACUACUAAUUAACUUUGAUACACUAAUUACUAACGUAAUAACUAAUAACAUAACUCUGUACUCCAACUAACCAAGAAAUCAUAAGAUCGAUUGGCAGCUGAUACAAGUAAAUCAUAAAUGGCUGGCUUGAGCUUAAUUAAAAGAUGAAUGUGAUUCAUAUAAUAUAAAAAUUCGUGAGUUGUCUAGUUAAUUAGUUUAGAAGAUCGACUUCAACCACCAAAUUGUUUUUAUAGAUAUACAAAUUAAAACCAUAUACUCUUAAAGAUUACCAGCUAAUUUGAACAAUGACAAUUAAGUGGUUUUUAAUAAUCAAAUCAUAUCUAUAAGAAAUAAGCCAACUAAUAAUUCAAAUUAUCAAUUAAACCUUCACAUUUCUCUCCUAAUGAAAACCCUAUAAAUACCCACUAAACACUUAACAUUUUUCUCCACACAUCUCAUACAAACUUAAACGCACUACUACUUCUUGAGCCUCUUCGACCUCACAAACCAAUGGCUCCAAGAACUUCCCUUGCACUCUUCCUUUCUCUCAACCUCCUCUUCUUCACUUACACCUCUGCGGCCACCCCGAGCAGACAGACUUGUCCUAGAGAUUCCCUACAGCUCGGUGUUUGCGCCAAUGUACUCAAGCUAGUGGACCUAACAUUGGGAAACCCACCUGUAAAGCCAUGCUGCUCUCUCAUCCAAGGCUUGGCUGACCUUGAAGCUGCUGUCUGCCUCUGCACUAUGCUCAAGGUUAACCUUCUUGGGAUCAACCUUAAUCUUCCCAUCGAUCUCAGCGUUCUCCUCAAUGUUUGCAGUAGAAAAGCUCCAAAGAACUUCCAGUGCGCGUAAGUUGAAUAGUGUUUAUGAAGUCUUGGACCUAUUUUCUUAUCUUCUUGUUUUAUGGUAAGGUGAUUUCGUUUUGUAAUUUUCUUGAAUUGUUUAAGUGAACGUACGUUCUCAUGCAAUAAUGGAUAAUGCAUGCAUGGGUUUGUGUAUACAAUACAUGUAUUUGGCAAGUUUGUACUCCUUUACUUCAUUGUUACCCCGUCCCUUCUUUGUAAUCUAUUUUUCGAAUUUGAUAUAAUAAAUUCACUUCUUACCAUAAUUAAAUUUUAACAUUAUAACUUAAAAAGCCCUAUUGGAAAAAAUAAUUAAAAUGCCCUAUCUGUUCUUCUUACAAAAGAUGCUUGGAAGCUCGAUGUUUAACUUGUUGAAUGUGACCAUCCUGUCUCUAUAUAUCUGAAGACCCAAUAGAAAAAUCAAGACUCUUACUCAAUUUUUCUUUUUCCAAUAUAAGAGAUUUUUACCAUAAGAAAUUUUCAAAAUUUUAUUUAUUUUGGAUCCAUAGCAAAUGCCUAGGUGCAACCUCAUUGACGGUUUGGUUGAAUCAGAUUAUGCGGUUUGUCUUUGCACCGUGAGUAAAGCUAAAAUUCUAAAACUUGUCGAUUGCAGCAGAAUGGUUUCCAAUGCCCUUAAUUUGAAAACGUAAAUUUCUAAAACUUGGUUCAUAGACUUAUUUAUAAAUAUGAAAGUUGUUUUCCCAUCAAAUAUAACCAUAUAUAAGAUUGAUAAACAGAAACCAAUAGCUGGUUAAACCUUAAAAAAACGAGAAAUUAACAAGAAUUUAUUUAGUAAACUAUUUUACGAGUGGCCAUUUCUCUUUUAAUAGUAUAGAUUUCCAACACACACAAAAAAAUGUUCUAACUUUAUAUCUUGACUUAAUUUCACUAUAAAAUCCCUAAUAUUAAUUUUGUCUCAGUUCGAUUGGAUCAAUUUCAAACCGUGAAAAUUCCAUGUCUACUCAAUCCAUUUAAUCUCUAGUCGGUUGUCGAAAAAAAAUAUUAUAAUCUCUAGUCGGCAAAAUUUUGGUUUGAUCUCAAUUGGAUUUCUGAUUCAAAAUUAAUUAACAGUGAGUAAAUUAAUGGCAAUUUCCUUAUAUAUAAUGUUAAGUCUCCAGAGUUCAAAAAGAACAAUUGGUUUUUUAUUUUAACAUGGUAUCAAAGUCUAUAUUUGAUCUUAUAUUCUUUUUCAUUUUGAAAAAUCACAUAUUCUUUAUUUAAUGUUUCGCUUUUUUUUUGCUCAUUUUAAAUUAUAACCUAAUAUAAUUAAGAGAACAUCAAUACUCUAUUAUUGUAUAUGCGACCCGAUGAUAAUUCAAAAGAAUACCGGUAGUCUAUUGUUAUAUACUGUAUAUGUGAAGUUAUUUAGGAUUUAUGAUUUAAAGUUAUAGCGAGUUUGCAAUAUGAUUUGUUAACGAAUAUUAUUAAAUGUGAAGCAUGUUUUCUUUGGUAACAAAUAAUAUACUAUACAAACCUAAGCGUCAGAAUUUUGGUAUACAAUAAUAUUGGUUAUGUGAAUCAAAUCUUCGGACAUCCCAAAUAUAACGGGUCAACUUUCAAAAAGAAAUAUAUUCAGCAAAAGUUCAACUUGGUUCUCACUUAACCGAAUACAAACCUGAAAUGCCUAACGAGAGAACAAACUUGAAAGCUGAAACAUUAGAGCAAAAAUACAAACUUAACGAAGUUUGAUAGAUCAUGUUUAACGAAGUUGUCAAAGCGGUGUAUGGUAGGCAAAGCUGUGAUGGAAACCCUUUUCAAAAGUCUUUUCACCACUGACUGUAAAGGAAGUCACCAUUUGAAUAUUAUUGUUAUGAUCACUAAUGUUAUGCCAUUAUAUAUUACCUGUAGCUUUAUGUAUAGUCUUACAAAUAUGUGAUAUAUAGUAUUUAUAUUUGAUGCACUAACCGAAAAUUUCAGAUAUAAACUUCUUUCAUUUUUGACGUCUUUUUAGAUAGAUUAUGUAGUUAAUAAAAAGAAUAUAAUUGACCAAUAAAUACAUCAAUUUUAUAGUAAAGAAUGAUUUUCGCAUGAUGAUUAUAUAUUAUUAAUUGUAAGCCUUUCCAUGGAAUUACUAAAUUCUCGAUAUCUCUUAUAGUCAGCUAGCUACACGUGAGCCAUACACUAUUUGCAUGUUCGACCAUUAUUUUAUUAAUCGGAAUAUAACAAAAGAUGCCAUUAUUAAUUCACGAAACCAUAUGUUAUUUAUUCAGAGAAAAAAAUAUCCAAGUGGUAAGAUCUCGCACAUACCUGAUCAUUCAAUAUAAAUCAUUGAAAUGUAUUAUCCGAAAGAGAAAUAAUAACGAUGAUUUUGUCGUUAAAUAACUUAAUAAGUAAAAGUCAUUUGCUAAUAAAAACAUUUCACAUAAGAUUUUUCUAUAAUUAAAAAAAAUUAUCAAAAAAAGAUGCAACUUCUCCCAUCUUGUUUCUAAUUCUUUUUAUAUCUAUUUAAAACAAAAACUAUACUACAAAAAAAAAAAAAGAAGAAAAAGAAAAGAGAACUCUUAAAUUUUCUCACACACUAUACUAUGAUUUUGGGGAGUUUGGAACCAUCUAAAGAUUUCUUAAACCAUUUCACCAUUCUCUACAAAAAUCCAAUUCACGUUGGACUCAUAUCCAUCCUUUGCUCUAACUUUCUCCACAUUUCCAUCUGAUAGAAUUCAUGAGCUAAGACGAUUUGUGAAAUGAUUUUUUUAUUUCUCAAUCGUAAUAAACAUUGCAGUGUGUGUUUAUAUACAAUAAAUUAAUGUAAAUCGGAAUCUCAUGUCAAUUAACUUAACCAGUAAUCCAGCUACUCUAAUACCAUCACUUUUUAUUUUUUAAAUCUUUCUCAGAUCUACUAAUUUGAAACUUCAUUGAAAAAAACAAUUUUUAUCAGUUAACUAAAAAAAGGACAAUUGGAUAUAUCAAUUCUUACCACCGACUAAGUUGUUAAUUAAAAUAAGAACCAUAUACUCCUAGAGAUUACCAGCUCAUUUGAACAAUAGAAAAUAUUUAAUGUUCUUUAAACACAAAUAGUCAACUAAUCCCCUAGUAACGACAAAAUAUCAAUGAAACCUUCACAAUACUCUCCUAGUGAAAACCCUAUAAAUAGACACUAAACACUUUUUGACAAAAAAAAAAAAAAGACACUAAACACUUAACAUUUCUCUCCACCCAUCUCAAACAAACUUAAACGCACUACUACUUCUUGAGCCUUUUCCACUCCACAAAACAAAAUGGCUCCAAGAACCUCCCUUGCACUCUUCCUUUCUCUCAACCUCCUCUUCUUCACUUACACCACUGCGACCACAGGUACUUGUCCUAGAGACGCCCUCCAGAUCGGUGUUUGCGUCAGUGUGCUUAACAUAGUGGACCUAACAGUGGGAAACCCAGCCGUACAGCCAUGCUGCUCUCUCAUCCAAGGCUUAGCUGACCUUGAGGCUGCUGUCUGCCUUUGCACUGCUCUCAAGACUAGCAUUCUUGGAACCAACGUCCUUAACCUUCCCAUCAAUCUCAGCGUUCUCCUCAAUGUUUGCGGUAGGAAAGCUCCAACGAACUUCCAGUGCGCUUAAGUUCAAAACAAACUUAUGGCAUACCUAGAAAACAAAUAAAUCAGUAAUCAUAUAUACAGUGUAUGAAUAAUAAAAAAUAAUCAUACAGUGUAUGAUUACUUGAAACCGUUAUCUUAUCUUGUUGUCUUCGUUUUAAGGUGAUUUCAUCUCUUCUUUGUAUUUGUGUCCUUUGAAUCCGAUUAAUAAAAGUAUCGAUCUUUAUGUUUUAUUGUUUAUAGUGGUUUCGAGUAUACAUGUGUAUCUUAAAAACCAAGAUGAAAAAUAAUAUUACAUACAUGAUACAUACAUACCACUAAAGCCUGUCUUAGCUAGUAUUUCCUUGUAAGCAUUAAGACAUGUAACAUCUAGCUCAUCGUUCCAUAUAUAACAUGCAGGAAUGGUUGGGAUAUAUCUAAUUAUUUUUUAUCUAACUAGAUAACAAUUUGUUCAAGAUCAAUUCUUCAAACAGAUAACACUUGCAAACUUGCGACAUAGUUUAAAAAAAAAGAACUAUAAAUAUGUAGUGUAAUGUUAGACGUAAUAUACAUAGUAGUCAAAAUAUAUUUUGACGUAGAAAUUAUAAUUUUUGCCAAAUAUCAAAGACUUUAAAAGUAAUAGGUGAAAAUAUCAUAAUUAAGUUGGUAAUGGAUUUUUUUUUUGAGUUUAAUGUUAAAUUAUAUUUAAAAAGAAAAAUUAACAUUUUUACAACAAGUGCAAUAUUGUUUUGAAAGAAAAACUUAUAAAGUAUUAAAAGUGAUUAAAAAAUUCCACGACGAUGGGAGCUUCUAACCUACGAAGAAGUCUUUCCCCUCUUCAUUCGGAAGUAGAAGCUCUGGUGUGGGCGAUGCGAUGCAUGAUUGGCCAUGACUUCAGAGAAGUUGCUUUUCUUACCGACUGUUCGGACUUGGUGAAGAUGGUGUCUUCUCCUCACGAAUGGCCGGCUUUCUCUGUCUACCUGGAGGAUAUCAAGAAUGAUAGGGAAGAAUUCUCAUCUUUUUCUUUAUCUUUUAUUCCUAGAAAUCUGAAUGUAAAAGCGGAUUACUUGGCACGCAAAGCUCGUUCCAGUCCGCAUUUGAUUAAGUUUGUAAACAAUUGUCCGUCAAGUUGGCUCAUUUGAGUUAGCUUUUUAUUUAGAUAGAACAAAAAAAAAAAAAAAAAAGAUUAAAAAAUUCCCCCAAAAAUAUCUUAAUCAAAUGACUAGGAACGUGCUUGAAACCAACGUUGGAAACCUUCAUCAUAUCGUCAAUUACCCUCUCGUCGAAUUGCUUGGAGCUGAUCAACUCAUUUUAUGAUUGUUGCAGUCGGAUGUGAAGCAUCUCCGUUAAGUUAGUAAUCGAUUUUUUGGCUUGAGGGGGGACGAAAAUGUAAUUUUUUCCUAAUAAUUCAUUUGUAUAUAUUUUUUGAGAACAAAACCUUGAGUUUUAGUUAUAAGAAAUUGUUAAGUCACAUCUUAUACACAUAUUGAUUGACAAAUUUCUCCAAUUAAUUUAUCAAAUAAAAUAGUAUUAAGUCAAAAACGAAUUUGAGUUAAUUAACACGUGCUCAAAUUUGGCAUUUUCAGACUAAUCAUUAUGUAUAUUAGAGAUGCCUUCAUAUACAAUCAAACGUACGUUACAGAUGUGUUAUACGUAAACUGUAACACAUACUAAAAUAUAUAAUGUAUAUGAUCGAACUUCGUUCCACUUCCAGUAGUUUGGAUUUAAUUUGGACGGAUUACAAAAGAAUCUAUAUAACUCACUCCAUGCUGAGACUUCUUCAACUAUAUAAAAUCAUUUACAAACAACAAAUUUAUUCAUUUAUUUCCGAUUAGAUUUUGUGGCAGAGAGAUAGUUAACAAUGGUGGUCUCGAUUCUGAUUAUUUGAAGGUCAAGGCCGAGACGCAAUAGUGGUUUCCAAAGUUUGAUGGUGAUUUCCAAAGCCGAGUAGAUUAAUGGAUAUUUCCAUAUAUAUAAUAAUGCUUAUAUACUAAUGCUUCAACCUUAACCUAAUACUUAAUCUAAACAAACCCAUUUACACAUAUGGGCUUUUACUACAAUCAUGGCCCAUGGCCUUUUUCCUCUUCCUCCUCAUACAACCAAUGCUUCUUCUUUUUUUGGUAAAAUACAACCAAUGCUUCUUCUUCAGUUGCUUACGCAUCUCUCUUCCUUCAUAAUUUCUCACCUUUCUCUUUGUUUCUCUUUUGCAGGGUUAAGUAAUGAAUCAACUUCCACCAGUUUUCACUUGAUUAUUUUUUAUGAUCAUUGAUUUUAUGCCUUUAUUACCUGUAUGCAGAAAUGUGUUUUUUUAUUUCCUUUGUAAGAAAAUCUAUAUCAUUUAUUUUUGAUGAAUUAACCGAAAAAUUCAGAUAUAUCUAUAUAUAUAAAGUUAACUUUUUCUCUCUUCUCCUUAAGCCACAUCAUCAUCCACCUCAUUUUAUUAUUUAAUUUUUAAAAUUAAUUAUACCAUUUUAUCAUUUAAUUUUACUAUUUAAACCUAUGUAAAUAAUAUAUAUAUAUAAAGUUAACUUUUUCUCUUUUCUCCUUAAGCCACAUCAUCAUCCACCUCAUUUUAUUAUUUAAUUUUUAAAAUUAAUUAUACCAUUUUAUCAUUUGAUUUUAAUAUUUAAACCUAUGUAAAUAAGUUUUUCCAAAAUAAAUAUGAAAGGUCUUUUUUAUUAUUAUAUAUUAUAAAACUAAAAAAGAUAAUUGAUUAAGAGUUAAAAAAACUUACUAAUUAUCGAUUAUACUAACAAAUAUAAUGUAUAAUAUAAACCCCACAUCAUCAUUCAUCUUAAUUUUUUACAUUGAUUUAGAAUUACAACACUUUAGUUUUUAAUUUCUUUUCUACCUCAUAACUUAGCUUUUAUUUUAUUUUUCUAUUCAAUAGUGGUUUUAAGAAAAUAAAUAAUAUAGUAAAAAACAUUUAUGUCCAAAAUAAAUAAAACAAGUAUAUAUUUAUAAAGUAAUGAUCAAUUUUUUGAUUAAUGGGGCUAAAUACAAAAACAAAAUACAAAGCAAGGAUAUUUAUACUAUACAGAUAGAUAUACCACUAAAUUGAUGUCAUCCGAAGCCACCUCAAACGAAAACACAACUGAUUUUAGGCAUAAGAAGUAGAAAAAAAAACCUUAAAGUAAAAUGAAAACACUUGGAUAAGUAAAUAAGUGGAUUCACCAGAAUAAUUUGGCUUACAAAAAUUGAAGGCUUUUGAAAUGUAAGCUUUUAACAGCUACUAUUUGACCUAAAUCAUAGUUAAAAAAAUAAAAAUAAACAUUGCAUAUACUAAAUUAAUACAAAACAACAGUAAAAACAAAAAAAAUAAACAGAAAACAAAGAAAAAUCAAAAUAUAAAAAACAAUUAUAAAACUCCCGCGCGCAGCGCGGAUCAACAACUAGUAUAUAUAUAUGUUAAACUCCUAUAAUCAUAUGGUGACAUAAAAUUUAUUACGGUCGUUAAGAAAUAACUUUGCCUUUUGAUAUGAUUUUUAAAAGAAUUAAUUUAGCCUUAAUCAACAAGACGAUGAUUAAUUACCAUAAUAUAGCCCGCACAGUUGUGGUCCAGUGGUAAGGAAGAAUUGGGGACAUGUUGGAAGGAACUAACCCAGAUUCGAUCCACCCUGGAAACAAAAAUCAUGGUUGUGUGGGAAGUCUGGGAAUUGGGCCAAGGCCCAGUUGCUUUACCUGUUAGUCAGAAAUGCAGACGACCUGAUUACCCUUGGCAUUAGUCGGAAAACAUUCCAAACUCGGGAUAGACAGUGUGUCAUGGCCCUUCGGAGAGAAGUCCACUCUGAAGCAUUUCGGUGCGAUUCUACCGGAGCUGACGGGAUAAGCCGAUAGGAUUUAUCAAAAAAAAAAAAUUACCACUUGGUUGAACCAUUAAACUUCUUUCAUUUUUCACGUCUUUGAGAUACUACUAUACAUAUGUAGUUAAUAAAAGAGAAAAUCAUUAUUAAAAAAAAAAGAAUAGAAUUGACCAAUCAAUUGAUAAUGUUAUCGUGAAGGAUGAUUUGGGCAUGAUCAUUAUCAUAUUUAUAUAUUAGAAGCCUGUUCGAAGGAAUAACUAAAUUCUCGAUCUCUCCUAUAGCUACCACCCGUGAACUAUAAUAGUACACUAUUAGCAUGUUCGACCUUAUUUUUUAUAAUCCGAAUAUAACAAAAGAUACCACUAUAAUACAUGAAACUAUAUGUUAUUUAAUCAGCAAAAGGAUCAAACUAGUAUGAUCACUUACAAUAUAUCAUUCAAUACAAAUCAUAGAAAUGUAUUAUCCGAAAGAGAAACAACAACGAUGAUUUUGUCGUUAAAUAACACCUUAAGAUAUACUAUAUUUUGAUCUAAUUUCCAACAAUUAUUUUACGUUAUUCAACUAUAGACAUUGAUUUCCUUUCAGAUUUUUUUUCGAAAUUAUGAUUUUAUUUGUUUCACACAAUGAAAAUGACCUUUUAAUGCCAAAUUUGUGCUAAACCAUCUAAUAAAGUCUUAACGUUGAAAUCAUACGAUUGAGAUAUUUCUAUAUUUUAAACCCUAAAAAUAUCCAAACUAGUCUAUUAUAAACCCCUAAUAUACGGAAUGAUAUGAUAAGUCCAACCAUUUGAGACUACUAAUACAAUUAUCACAUGGAAAUGAAGUAAUAAACUUUGUCUUCGUGUGUGAUUAUGUGUAGACAUAAUGGUGAAGGAUAAAAUUUAUGAGGCUUUGCAUAGUUAAUUUCUAAAAUAAGAUUAUAAAUUUGAUUAUAUUCUUAAUAAUCGUGAAGGCCCGUACAUAUAUUGGUAUAAUUCGAAAAUUUGGGAGUUGUCUAGUUAAUUAUUUUAGAGGAUCCACUUCAACCACCAAAUUUUGAUUUAUGGAUAUAUAAAUUCUUACCACCAACUAAGUAGUUAAUUAAAAUUAGAACCAUAUACUACUAGAGAUUACCAGCUCAUUUGAACAAUAAUGACAAUUUAGUGUUUUCUAAUAUUAAUCAAUCCCUUAUCUCUUAAUGAAAACCCUAUAAAUAGACACUAAACACAUAACAUAUCUCUCCACCCAUCUCAAACAAGCUUAAACGCACUACUACUUCUUGAGCCUUUUCCACUUUACAAAACGAAAUGGCUCCAAGAACCUCCCUUGCUCUUUUCCUUUCUCUCAACCUCCUCUUCUUCACUUACACCUCUGCGACAUGUUACAAGUGCCUCCCCACCCCAACUACCCCGACCAUCCCGACCAUCCCGACAACCCCGACCACCCCGACUACCCCGACCACCCCAAGCACAGGUACUUGUCCUAGAGAUGCCCUACAGCUCGGUGUUUGCGCCAAUGUGCUCAAGCUAGUGGACCUAAAAUUGGGAAACCCACCUGUUAAGCCAUGCUGCUCUCUUAUCCAAGGCUUGGCUGAC
rnacentral:lncRNA from 1 species